rnacentral:lncRNA from 1 species
AUCGAUUCUUCGUGUUUAGUCAACUCAAUAAAGGGAUUUGUUGGGUUUUGAACCAACUCAAGAUGCAAGAGGAAAGGAGGAGUCCAAUGGACUCGAAUCGAGGGAGUUCAUGCAAAACAAAAAUGAUAAGAAUUAGAAUGGCUAAUUAAUGAACUUGAUUAAAUAACCAAGAACCAUUGAAACACAAGGGGUGACAAUAAAUUUAAAGCAAGUUGCGGUGACAAUAUUGCAAAGAUGUCACAUGUUAGCAAUACAUAAACAAGGAGACAAACACACUGCCACUCAUAUUUGUGAAAAUAGAAUCACUGCUAGAAGACAAACCUUAGCACAAUAACUUUAAUUAUCCUAGAUUAGCUACCACAUCCAUAACUAGACAUUACAAUUUCAAAGAUCGGAAAUUGGCCAGUGAACAUUACAAUCAAGCAUGUACUGAUUUAAACAAAGAAAAAAAAAACAAAUAACGCCAAACUUGAAAUCUCAUGGAAUUCAACAUAGUAUCACACAAUCACUUGUUAAAAAAAAUAAAUGCAACUACUUAGUAUUAAAUCAUAAAACUGUACUCCAGUGAGUUCAACCAACUUGUAUGAAUGCUUGAGUUUACAAGGUCUUCUAGGAUAUAUUACAAAAGAUAAGUAAAUUCAAAGUUUAAGCUCAAAACACAAUAAC